UGAGGAAUAUUGGUCAAUGGGGGGAACCCUGAUCCAGCGACGCCGCGUGAGUGAAGAAGUAUUUCGGUAUGUAAAGCUCUAUCAGCAGGGAAGAAAAUGACGGUACCUGACUAAGAAGCUCCGGCUAAAUACGUGCCAGCAGCCGCGGUAAUACGUAUGGAGCAAGCGUUAUCCGGAUUUACUGGGUGUAAAGGGAGCGUAGGUGGCAAGGCAAGUCAGAUGUGAAAUCCCGGGGCUCAACCCCGGUACUGCAUUUGAAACUGUCUGGCUAGAGUGCAGGAGAGGUAAGCGGAAUUCCUAGUGUAGCGGUGAAAUGCGUAGAUAUUAGGAGGAACACCAGUGGCGAAGGCGGCUUGCUGGACGACAACUGACGCUGAGGCGCGAAAGCGUGGGGAGCAAACAGGAUUAGAUACC
rnacentral:rRNA from 1 species